CGACAGCCGUGCGCAUGCUCCGGCUCUUAAAGCCACCCGGACUCUUUUUUUUCCUGCCCCCCCGUUCCCGGCCCCGCUGCCUCCACCCAGCCGAGGGUGGUUACGGGGGGGGCUUUGUCUGGUCAGUUUUCCUGUAGCGAGCUGGGCGUAUCGGGGGGUUGCUGGGUUGCUAGGUGAGUACACACCUCGUGUGUGUGUGUGUGUGUGUGUGUGUGUGUGUGUGUUAUGUGUGUGUGUGUGUAAGGCUGCUGUGUUAAUGCACAGUGUGUGUGUCAGUGUAAGGCUGCUGGGUGAAUACACGUGUGUGUGCGUAGGGCUGCUGUGUUCAUACACAGUGUGUGUGUGUCGGUAAGGCUGCUGGGUGAAUACACCUAUGUGUGUGUGUCAGUGACUGCUGGGUGUAUGCACGUAUGUGUGACUGCUGUGUUAUUGCACACGUGACGUUGUGUGUGUGUGUGUGUGUAGGGCUGCUGUGUUAAUGCACAGUGUGUGUGUGCCAGUGUAAAACUGCUGGGUGAAUACACAUGUGUGUGUGUGUGUGUAGGGCUGCUGUGUUAGUACACGUGUGUAUGUCAGUGUAAAGCUGCUUGGUGAAUACAAACAUAUGUGUCUCUCUGUGUGUGUAGGGCUGCUGGGUGUAUACACGUGUGUGUAAGACUAUUGUGUUAUUGCACAUGUGACGUGGGGGGGGGGUGAGCAGAAGCAGCUGAGGCAAUUGCUUAGAACUGUGACCUGCCAAGGGGCCCUGAUUUUGUGUUACCCCCAGUACCAGCCAUCUUACUGCCCGUGGUCAUUGAGAGGAGAGUCUUGGCAUGGGCUGGGCUGAGAUAUUGUUUGGUUUGUGGAAAUAAUGCAGUGAGUUUUUUAGGGGGUUGGCGAGGAGACCAAACCAUCCCUGCUCAGCCCCCACCCCUCUGGGCUAGCACCCCUUGCGUGUGUGUUCCAUCGUCCUCUAAGCUGUAAUUCCCUUGAUUGAAAAGAACAACAGAAGGAAAGGCAGGCCCCAUGAGGGGCUGGGGCCUUGCAUGAAUGAAAAUUGAGUGUGACACGCACCGUGCACGCAUGGCGUGCACAAGGACUAGUUACACACCUGAGUGUGGCUCAGGCUCCAGACACUUACAGCUCGAGUGUGUGACACGAACGCUGAGACUCAUCAUCAUACACCAGAGGUUGCGUGAGGGGGUGAGUCAUUGACAAGCCAGCUACCCUGUGACGGAUGUGUGACUCCAGCCCUUGGACGAGUGAUACCUGAGGGACAGGGUGCCUCAUGUGUGACACUAGCAUUUGGAAUAGUGCUACGCUGGCAGCGGGACGAGCUCUUGACCGAGUUGCGCACUCUUGGUCGAGUCACUUGUGCAUGACACGAGCGGUGCACUGAAUUGCCCUGUGCCUCAGUUUCUCCACUUGUAAAAUGAGGAUAGUGAUUCUUCUUUUACAUCAUUUCUCUAGGCUGUAAAAUGUUUUGGGGCAACAAUUGUUUCUCACAAUGAGUCUGAGUCUCACAACGGGGCCCUGGUCUUGGUCAGGGUCUGUGCAGCGCCUGGCACUAUUGGGCUCUGAUCUCAGUCGGUGUCUGUGCAGCACGUGGCACAAUCGGGCUCUGAUCUCAGCUGGGCCUCUCUCUGGGUGCUAUGAUAAUACUAACAAAAGGAACAAGACAACUCUGAAGAGAAACUCAAGAUUCUCAAGUUGGGGGCAGGGGUAUGGGAGCAGGAUGAUUACCCUCCACAUGCCCACCUCUCUCUCUCUCUCUCUCUGGGGAGCAGAUUCUCUAAGCCAUCCGACAGGCUGCAGUAAGCAAGGGGCUGUUCGGGGUGAGCAGAGUGGGGAGGAGAAAAGGGAAGUAGAAGCAGCAGGUGCUGGUCUUGCGUUUGCACAUAUUUCUUUCCACACCCCAGACAAAAACCGAGCCGAUCUUGCUGAUGUCAUUUCAUUUCACAUCCGGAGGAAGUGGGGGCGGGGGGGGGGGGGGCGUCCAAUACCAGCCAAAUGAGCUGAAGAUUGUUUUAAAGCAAAAAGUCAGGAGAAAAGGCGAUGCACUAGGUACUUACUGCACCUGGGUGCCAGAAUGAGAUAGACCAGUAGUUCUCUUAAACUUUUGUCCUGGUGACCCUUUCACACAGCAGGCCUCUGAGUGCAACCCCCCAUAUCAAUUAAACCACAUUUUUCUAUAUUUAACGCCAAUAUAAAUACUGGAGAUGGGGUGGAGGCUGACAGUUCGCAACCCCCCAUGUAAUAACCUUGUGAUCCCCUAAGGGGUCCUGACCCCCAGUUUGAGAACCCUUGAGAUAGAUAGAUUAGAUAGAGGGGGUGUAUGGGGAUAGAUAGAUAGAGGGGGUGUACGGAGAUAGAUAGAUAGAUAGAUAUCUAGAUAGAUAGAUAGAUAGAUAGAUAGGGGUGUAUGGGGAUAAAUAGAUUGACAGAGGGAGUGUGUGGUGAUAGAUAGACAGAUUAGAUUAGAUUAGAUUAGCUCCAGAUGUACAUGUGGGGAUAGACAGACUCGGCCUUAUCAUCCUUUUAUGCAGUGGCUGGGAGUUGAAGCCAGACAAAUUCAGACUGGAACAAAGGCACACGCACCUUUUUAACGGUGAGGGUAACAGACUGAAACAAUUGACCGGGGGCAUGGCAGAUAUUCCCUCAUUGGCCGUUUUUCAGUCAAGCUGGGAUGUUUUUCUAACCGAUCUGCUCUAGGAAUCAUUCAGAGGCAGGUCUCUGGCGGGUGCUGUACAGGUGGCCAGACUAGGUGAUCAUAGUGGGCCCUUCCAGCCUUGAAACCUGUGAAUCUGUGAUGGCGUCUGCUUGUCCAUUGCAUUGUGAAUUCCGUAUGUAAUUGACUUAUUCAUUGUUCCAUUUGGAGGCUUCCUCCCAUCAGUGCCCCUCCCUGGGCCCAGAACGAGUCACACUUGUUUUUUAUCUCCUGCCAUUUCAGACUGGUCAGCCAGAGGUUGGCAGCGGGAUUAGCGGAAGGCAUCCAGCUGGUUGGUCUCUCUUGCCGGUGAUCUGGCAGUCCCGCCGUUCAGGGCCAGCAAGUUAACCCACCCCUGCGCUGAGUUGUGUGAGGUCACUCCCGCGACAUACCUUUGAGGAUCUGGGCCAAGCUAUCUGGUACGUCUCACGCGGGAACAGGAUUCUCUUAUCUACAGAAGAGCGGAAAACCAGGACUGAACAGCAGCGGAGUCGCCCAGGUGCAAAUCAAUGGCCCGCCCGCCUUCUUUCUAAAAGGUCCGUCCGACUUUCUUCAGCGCCAGGGAGUUACAAAUAAAAUCCACAUUCUACA